AUUGAACGCUGGCGGCAGGCCUAACACAUGCAAGUCGAGCGAGCGGCGCGCGGGGGAGUAUUGUCUGUGAAACUGCCUGAUGGAGGGGGGUAACUACUGGAAACGGUAGCUAAUACCGCAUACCCUCAGAUGUGCCCAGAUGGGUUUAGCUAGUGGGGGGGGUAACGGCUCACCUAGGCGACGAUCCCUAGCGGGUCGGAGAGGGUGACCAGCCACACUGGAACUGAGAAACGGUCCAGACUCCUACGGGAGGCAGCAGUGGGGAAUAUUGCACAAUGGUGGCAAGCCUGAUGCAGCAAUGCCGCGGGUGUGAGGAAGGCCUUCGGGUUGUAAAGCACGUUCAGCGGGGAGGCGUUACCCGCAGAAGAAGCACCGGCUAACUCCGUGCCAGCAGCCGCGGUAAUUC
rnacentral:rRNA from 1 species